CACCUAAGUGUACUCUACUACGUGAACUGUCGGUCGUAGAAGUUGCUACGAUGUGCUUGAUUGUUCCGUGUUUUUGCGUUUGCUGUAAUGAACUGUGACUUAGUUCGCGUGCACAAAACUGCCAGUAGAUAGCCUGUAUCUCGCUGCAAACUCGUGGUAUGCGUGGCGCGCCAGGCAAAUGUGGACCAACGAUUUUCGUGCCAUGAAGUGCGCUCCCUUUGUCCCUGGCUGUUGUGGAAAGUUUAGUGGACGUCGCAAAAAAAUAAUGCGUAUUAUUAGCGUUCCGUAGGUCGUCCACUACGCAACGGCAUGUAUGCGGGAAUAACUUUGCAGCUCCGGCAACUUGGAGGGCGCUUUUCGACCGCAUCGUACCAUUUAAAAGUGGCGAGGCCGUGACCUAAAACAGUGUCCACGUCAGGGAGGAGCUAUGGCUGUAGCAGCACGGUGUGUAAUCGGAUGGUCUGGUCAGAACAAUGGCCACGAGCUUGAAUUCCUUUAAAUGGUACAUGAAGGCCAGUAUCCACUGUGCUGUAGGUACUACAGCAGUGAGGAGUUUUCUAGUACAGAUUGGUGUGGGUUUUGUGAUGCCACUCAACAAGUGGCAUUAGAUGUGGCAUGGCAUCUGUGGACACCAGUGCAAGCAGGUGAAAGUAGCCUGACUGGGCAGGCCUGCCGGACAAUGUGCCAUGCAUCCGGGAAGCUUCCGGCAACACCGGAGAAAGUGGCUGCUUUGAAGAACUGCCUGGAUAAAUACAUAAGUGACCAUCCAAUGGGGCCACGAGCACCACAUCCGGAGAACCACCUUGCUUCUCUGCGGAAGCGCCUUCGGAGCUUUCUUUUACAGAAGCAGGUCGCCGGCACAAGCGAGUGGAAAAGUAAAUACAGUAUAAGUCCGGUGAUGUUUUUUUUUUAAUAAAGUGUGAUGACAUGC